rnacentral:rRNA from 1 species
AUUGAACGCUGGCGGCAGGCCUAACACAUGCAAGUAGAGCGGAGCGGCGGACGGGUGAGUAAUGCCUAGGAAUCUGCCUGGUAGUGGGGGAUAACGUCCGGAAACGAGCGCUAAUACCGCAUACUAUCAGAUGAGCCUAGGUCGGAUUAGCUAGUUGGUGGGGUAAAGGCCUACAAAGGCGAAGAUCAGUAACGGGUCUUAGAGGAUGAUCAGGAAAACUGGAACGGGAACACGGUCCAGACUCCUACGGGAGGCAGCAGGGGGGAAGAUUGGACAAUGGGCGAAAGCCUUAUACAGCCAGGCAGCUGGGGUGAAGAAGGUCUUCGGAUUGUAAAGCACGUUAAGUUGGGAGGCGUUACCAACAGAAUAAGCACCGGCUAACUCCGUGCCAGCAGCCGCGGUAAUUC